rnacentral:rRNA from 1 species
AUUGAACGCUGGCGGCAUGCUUUACACAUGCAAGUCGAACGGUAACAGGGAGCUUGCUCCGCUGACGAGUGGCGAACGGGUGAGUAAUGCAUCGGAACGUACCCAGUCGUGGGGAUAACGUAGCGAAAGUUACGCUAAUACCGCAUACGUCCUGAGGGAGAAAGCGGGGGACCGUAAGGCCUCGCGCGAUUGGAGCGGCCGAUGUCGGAUUAGCUAGUUGGUAGGGUAAAGGCCUACCAAGGCGACGAUCCGUAGCGGGUCUGAGAGGAUGAUCCGCCACACUGGGACUGAGACACGGCCCAGACUCCUACGGGAGGCAGCAGUGGGGAAUUUUGGACAAUGGGCGAAAGCCUGAUCCAGCCAUGCCGCGUGAAUGAUGAAGGUCUUAGGAUUGUAAAAAUUCUUUCACCGGGGGACGAUAAUGACGGUACCCGGAGAAGAAGCCCCGGCUAACUUCGUGCCAGCAGCCGCGGUAAU